rnacentral:rRNA from 1 species
UACGUAGGUGGCAAGCGUUGUCCGGAUUUACUGGGCGUAAAGGGCGUGCAGGCGGUUUGUUAAGUCUAGGGUGAAAGCUCCCGGCUCAACUGGGAGAGGUCCUUGGAUACUGGCAGACUUGAGGAGGGUAGAGGAGAGUGGAAUUCCAGGUGUAGCGGUGAAAUGCGUAGAUAUCUGGAGGAACACCGGUGGCGAAGGCGGCAUCCUGGACCGACACUGACGCUGAGGCGCGAAAGCUAGGGGAGCAAACGGG